CAUUGUGCAAACAGCGCGUCUAAUAUCCUUUGGAGAUUUUAUUUACAAAGUUACGAACUCAAAAUGGGUAUUUUAAGAUUCUUCAGAGGUUUGAACUGCUUUAGUUCAGGACAAAGGAAACAUGAGUCGAAGAAGCAAAUGGAAAAAGAACUCUCAAGCAUGCAAGAACUGAUCAGAAUACUUGAAGAAGAUAUCCAGAUCACAAGGAAUACUGUUGAGUUGUUCAAGCAGCGACAAAGAGCUGUGGAGGAUAAAG